CACGUAGGCGGCUUCGCAAGUCGGAUGUGAAAUCCCUCGGCUCAACCAAGGAAGUGCAUCCGAAACUGCAAAGCUUGAGUACCAAAGAGGAUCGCGGAAUUCCCGGUGUAGAGGUGAAAUUCGUAGAUAUCGGGAGGAACACCAGUGGCGAAGGCGGCGAUCUGGGUGGAUACUGACGCUGAGGUGCGAAAGCGUGGGGAGCAAACA
rnacentral:rRNA from 1 species